ensembl:lncRNA
GUCGCUGUAACACCCGAAAUCUGGGAUCUGGGAUGGGAUUGAAAUGGGGGUUUAUUGGCACCCCUCAAAACGCUGCGCAUGCGCGCUGGCCUCCACGCGCUCCGUGCUGCCGCCUUGUGGGCACACCCGGUACUGCAGCUCCGAGCGCCCUCGGCGCUUCCCAGGCUCCGCCGGCACCGGGACACGGAGCUGGACCGGGACCACGACCGGGACAGCGACCGGGACAGCGACCGGGACCGGCCGUGCGGGACCGGCUGCCGGGGCUUCUCCCGGCGCCUCUCCCGGCAGGAACGGCGGCCGCUGUGCCGGGAGCGGCAGUGGCGGAUGAGGAAGCCAGGCCUGCUGAGGAGGAAGAUGAGGAGGUGUGGGAGGAUGGAGACAGCGGCCACCAAAGGCUGGGGAAGGCACAGAUCCAGGUAGGAGACGUUGCCUUGCAAGGAACUGUCACUCCCAGCUGGAGCACCAGUGCUCACCCACAUCAAUGCCACAGGCAGGAGAGCCUUGUCCCAAGCCAGGAUUUCACUGGAGGGUCCUCAGCUCCUUGGGAAUUGCUUGAAGAACAGAAGAGUGAGGAGAUGGGGAUGCUCCCAGCCAUCACAGAGAUGUGGGAACAGCCCAGUUCCAGUGAGGAAUGUGCAAAGAACAUCCAGAACUGCCUCCUCACCCUCAUGGACAGCAGGAAUGCCUUCCAUAGCUCUUGUUUUGGAAUGGGAAUGGCUGUUGGGAGCUCUGGCAGGAGCACCUGGAGACCAGCAGUGGGAUUGCUUUGGCUGCUGCUGGAGGACAUGGGCUGUGACAAGGGAAUUGGCCCCAGAUGGAUCACAGCAGGACUAUGGAAAUUCCCUGCACUGGGAGGUUGUGGUGCUCUGGGUUAAAUUUUGGAUUCAUAAUGUUAAAGGUGGGGUGUGGAGGGGCUUCUCUCCUGUUCAUUAUUGUUGUUAUCAAUGUUCUUGCUCUCAGUGUUACUAUGUGUUGUCAUUACUCUCAAAUGAUUGCAUUUGUCUUGGUUUCCAUUAUUAAACUGUUCUGAGCUGGAAUUUUGUCUCUGGUCUCUUCCCCAUCCCACGGGGGGUGAGGGAGCGGCUGCUGGUGCCCAGCUGGGGUCCAGCCGUGGCCCCGGGCACUUCUGGGGGCUCCGAACCCGAGGGACAGGAGCGGUUUUGGGCUCACAAAAAGAGACCCAGUGCUGCGUUUCGGGGGCUCAAAAGCAGGCGCAGAGCUUAAAAGCAGAGACUAAAUCCUGCACUGUGGAGUCCUGAGAGCAGGCUGGUAUGGCCAGAGCUGGGACUCAGAAACAGUGACUAAAUCCUGUUCUCAGGGCUUGAGGAAGAGAGCGAGUCCUGUGUGUUCGGGCUCACAAAGAGAAACGGAAGUGCUGCGUUCUGCUGGACUGAAUUAAAGCCCAAGUGCCGUGUUUUGAUGUUCAAAGCGGGCUCUUGGGGCCAGGGCGAGUCUGUGUCUCUGGGCUCCGAGUCCUGCCUCAGGCACAGCCCGAAGCCGGGCUCGCCGGCCCCACGCAGAGCUCGGGAGCAGCGACUCAGCGCCGCGUCCGGGGCUGGCGGCAGAGCCCGGGGCCGCGUCGUGGGGCCCAAGGCGGGCUCCGGGAGGGGCUCAGGGCUGGGAGCGGAGCCCGGCCCGGCGCGUCGGGCCCGGCUCGGGAUCCCGGGGCUGCCCGGGCGCCGGCACAGCCCCGGCUCCCCGCGGAGAGCCGGCCGGAGCAGGAGCGGCAGCGCCGGGCUCGGCCCCAGCGCCCGUCCCGGAGCGGCUCCUCCCGGUGCCGAUCCCAGCCCCGAUCCCGCCGGGGGAGAGGCGGCCCCGC